UCUUUGUUUUUAAACAUGAACCCAGCAAAUGGGCCUGCUUAAGCAACUUAGAAUUUUUUCCCAUGAGAUUCUUUGAAGAAACCGACAUCAAUUCACCACUGGAGAGUUUCUUGCAGUCCAGUGAUGACUGCAUUCCAGUGGUAUGGUCCUACCAUGUUUCUCAGUCCCCUGUAUUUGUUGUGAAUUGCUAGUUAGAGCUAGAUGCUUGAUUCAACUCAAUUAACUUUUUUUUCAAGAAGACUUUAUAAGUGGUAUGUGUCCUUCCAUUAGGAGGGACAUCAUUACUACUAGUCUCUCUUUUUGUGUUAUUAGCAUUCAUUGAUAAUCGUUUUCUAGAUCUAUUAGGGUGGCAGAAUGGGGAUAUUCAAAUUCUGUCAUUUCCUAUUGACUUACUAAUGCUGUAAAGUUUUACUCCUAGUUUUGAACUUAGGCUCAAUGCUUCACAGCCAGUAAUGUUUGCAAUAUGCUGGGUCUGAUUUUUCUUAUCUGCGACUUUGUUGUAGAAAAAUUAUUUAAUAUCUAACAGUAAGGAUAGGCUAUUAUGAGCUAUGAAAUUGUGGAAAAUUCACACAGAAGGAGCCUGGCAUUUGAAAGGGAAGAAAAUAAUUCUGCAAAGGUCCAUUUAUCCCAUGAUCUUUUGUGAGUGUCAAGGUGGAAGCACUCAAUGUGUUUUUAUUUUAAAGUAAGGGAUUUCAGGCAAGAACCUUAUGAAAAGUUGGUAAGAUUUUGGACUAUGAGGGUAAUAAAGAAGAUAUCUGCAGAGAUUUUAAUAUUCAGAAGUGAAUUUUUGUACCUUCAUUUCGGCAUUGCUCUCUCAGGAAUGCUCUUUUUUUUUUUUUUCUUCAAGAAAUUGGAACAAGUACAACCUUAGUGAUUCAAAUGAAAGAUUCUGAAAAUUACUGGUACACCCAGUCCCCUUUGGGGAAAGGAAGGUAGGGACAAGAGCUGCCCCAGGAGCACCUCCCCGACUGUUUGUAGGGGAUGAUACGUGCGCAUGUGCAUGUGUGCCAGGCACAUCACCCGUGUGUUUCAUGUCAGUGAAACAUGUCCGUCAUUCUCUAAGGCCUCAUGUAUUCUUACUUGAUAGAAAACUCCUGGGUGAAAUGACAGGCUUUUGGAACUGCUUUUUCGUCAGUGGGUGCUGCUACAGAGAUUUGGAAGCCCUUUAGGUAUGCGAGGUGGAUGUAUUUCUGUCUGUUUUGACAUCAUCAUCACCACUUCAGAAGUUGUCAUGUUGAAACUUUGUGCUGGCAUUUAGCACCUGCUCUGCUUAAUUAUAGCUUGAAACACAAAUACUGUGACAUCUUCCCUGGAGCUGGAAGGGUGCUGAGAGGACAGUGCUGGCAUCACUCACACUGAGAGGGAAAUCUUUCGGGUUGGAUUUCAGGGAAGAGCUGUGCUGGCCAUUGGAAUGAGGACAGUCACCACUUUCUCUGUGUAAUGGACAAUAUCCCAGCAGCCUCUGAAUUAAGUCACAGAGACGUGAAAUUGGAGGGUUUUUUUUAGAAGAUCAUCUGGAUCACCCAGGCCUUCGAGCAGCUCAUUGUCUUCCUAAGCCGGGUCAGACAGUUGCCUGCGUGUCCUGAUGGUUUUGCUUUGAGCUACUUUUCAAAAGACAAGCCACACCCAUGUUGAAGUGUGUGUACUAACACAUUCCAAUGCCAGCUCUGAGUAGGUUUUGAAUUAUCCACAUGUUGAAUCUUUCUUGUGCUCUCUACACAUCCACUCCCUCAAACGUUGAGCAUGUUAAGAGCUGACUAAUGUUUUUACCGGAGGGUGCAGGACAGAAUACUCAUUCUCUGUUGGGAAAUGCAGAAACUAUUUCAGAAACAGAAGUGCCAAUCUAUAGGAGUGAAUGUUCCUAAAAUGUGUUCUCUUUACAUUGUUUUCCUUUGCUAAUACACUUCCAAAACACUGUCUUAUUUAUUUAUUUUGCAAACCUAGUAAAAAAAUCAGAGCACAAAAAAUGAUGU
rnacentral:lncRNA from 10 species